rnacentral:rRNA from 1 species
GAUGAACGCUAGCGGCAGGCCUAAUACAUGCAAGUCGGACGGGAUUUGGGAGCUUGCUCCUAAUGAGAGUGGCGCACGGGUGCGUAAUACGUAUGUAACCUACCUUAGUCAGGGGGAUAGCCUCACGAAAGAGAGAUUAAGACCGCAUAACAUUAUUGAGUGGCAUCAUUUAAUAAUCAAAUAUUUAUAGGACUAAGAUGGGCAUGCGGAACAUUAGCUAGUUGGUAGGGUAACGGCCUACCAAGGCUACGAUGUUUAGGGGAUCUGAGAGGAUGGCCCCCCACACUGGUACUGAGACACGGACCAGACUCCUACGGGAGGCAGCAGUAAGGAAUAUUGGUCAAUGGGCGGAAGCCUGAACCAGCCAUGCCGCGUGCAGGAAGACGGCCCUACGGGUUGUAAACUGCUUUUAUACGGGAAUAAACCUACUUACGUGUAAGUAGCUGAAUGUACUGUAAGAAUAAGGAUCGGCUAACUCCGUGCCAGCCGCCGCGGUAA